CUUAUCUUAGCGGCGGACGGGUGAGUAAUGCUUAGGAAUCUGCCUAUUAGUGGGGGACAACAUUCCGAAAGGAAUGCUAAUACCGCAUACGUCCUACGGGAGAAAGCAGGGGAUCUUCGGACCUUGCGCUAAUAGAUGAGCCUAAGUCGGAUUAGCUAGUUGGUGGGGUAAAGGCCUACCAAGGCGACGAUCUGUAGCGGGUCUGAGAGGAUGAUCCGCCACACUGGGACUGAGACACGGCCCAGACUCCUACGGGAGGCAGCAGUGGGGAAUAUUGGACAAUGGGGGGAACCCUGAUCCAGCCAUGCCGCGUGUGUGAAGAAGGCCUUAUGGUUGUAAAGCACUUUAAGCGAGGAGGAGGCUACUGAGACUAAUACUCUUGGAUAGUGGACGUUACUCGCAGAAUAAGCACCGGCUAACUCUGUGCCAGCAGCCGCGGUAAUACAGAGGGUGCGAGCGUUAAUCGGAUUUACUGGGCGUAAAGCGUGCGUAGGCGGCUUUUUAAGUCGGAUGUGAAAUCCCCGAGCUUAACUUGGGAAUUGCAUUCGAUACUGGGAAGCUAGAGUAUGGGAGAGGAUGGUAGAAUUUCAGGUGUAGCGGUGAAAUGCGUAGAGAUCUGGAGGAAUACCGAUGGCGAAGGCAGCCAUCUGGCCUAAUACUGACGCUGAGGUACGAAAGCAUGGGGAGCAAACAGGAUUAGAUACCCUGGUAGUCCAUGCCGUAAACGAUGUCUACUAGCCGUUGGGGCCUUUGAGGCUUUAGUGGCGCAGCUAACGCGAUAAGUAGACCGCCUGGGGAGUACGGUCGCAAGACUAAAACUCAAUGAUUGACGGGGGCCCGCACAAGCGGUGGAGCAUGUGAUUAAUUCGAUGC
rnacentral:rRNA from 1 species